rnacentral:rRNA from 1 species
AUUGAACGCUAGCGGCAGGCCUAACACAUGCAAGUCGAGCGGAUGAUGGGAGCUUGCUCCUUGAUUCAGCGGCGGACGGGUGAGUAAUGCCUAGGAAUCUGCCUGGUAGUGGGGGACAACGUUUCGAAAGGAACGCUAAUACCGCAUACGUCCUACGGGAGAAAGCAGGGGACCUUCGGGCCUUGCGCUAUCAGAUGAGCCUAGGUCGGAUUAACUAGUUGGUGGGGUAAUGGCUCGCCAAGGCGACGAUCCGUAACUGGUCUGAGAGGAUGAUCAGUCACACUGGAACUGAGACACGGUCCAGACUCCUACGGGAGGCAGCAGUGGGGAAUAUUGGACAAUGGGCGAAAGCCUGAUCCAGCCAUGCCGCGUGUGUGAAGAAGGUCUUCGGAUUGUAAAGCACUUUAAGUUGGGAGGAAGGGCAGUAAGCUAAUACCUUGCUGUUUUGACGUUACCGACAGAAUAAGCACCGGCUAACUCUGUGCCAGCCGCCGCAGAA